ACGAACGAUAGCGGCGUGCCUUAGGCAUGCAAGUAGGACGGUCCCGAUAGCAAUAUCGGGAUAGUUGCGGACGGCUGAGUAACACGUAGGAAUCUACCUCUUGGUGGGGAAUACCUCGUCGAAAGACGGGCUAAUACCGCAUGAGAUCGCAAGAUGAAACCCCGAUCUAAUCGGGGGCCGAGAGAGGAGCCUGCGGCCCAUCAGCUAGUUGGUAAGGUAAAAGCUUACCAAGGCUACGACGGGUAGGGGGCGUGAGAGCGCGUUCCCCCAGAAUGGCACUGAGACACGGGCCAUACACCUACGGGUGGCAGCAACCGGGAAUUGUACGCAAUGGACGAAAGUCUGACGUCGCGACGCCGCGUGGAGGAUGAAGGCCUUCGGGUCGUAAACUCCUUUUGCCAAGUGGGAAACCACUUGGAGAAUAAGUGCUUGCUAACUCUGUGCCAGCAGCAGCGGUAAUACAGAGAGCACAAUCGUUGUCCGGAUUUACUGGGCGUAAAGCGUUUCGUAGGCGACGCAUUAAGUUAUGUUUCAAAGACCGGAGCUCAACUUCGGGAAGGGACGUAAUACUGGUGCGGUAGGAAUUAUGUCGGGGCUAUUGGAACUGUCGGUGUAGGGUGAAAUCCGUUGAUAUCGACAGGAACUCCGAGGGCGAAGGCAGAUAGCUAGGCAUAUAUUGACGCUGAGGAACGACAGCUAGGGGAGCGAAAGGGAUUAGAGACCCCUGUAGUCCUAGCCGUAAACUUUGCUCGCUAGCUUUUCCUUGCUUUGCAGGGAGGGGCGUAAGCUAACGCGUGAAGCGAGCCGCCUGGGGAGUACGAUCGCAAGAUUAAAAACUCAAAGGAAUUGACGGGGACCUGCACAACCAGCGGAGCAUGUGGUUUAAUUCGAGACGAACCGAAGAACCUUACCAGGGUUUGACAUGUAAGGCAUUUAGUCCUGCAGAAACGUGGGAUGAUUCUUAUAAACAUAAGAAACUUUACACAGGUGUUGCAUGGCUGUCGUCAGCUCGUGCCGUAGGGUGUUCCCUUAAGUGGGGGUAACGAGCGCAACCCCUUUCGUAUGUUGGAUUGUUCAUACGAUACUGCCGGCCUUUGGUCGGAGGAAGCGGGGACGACGUCAAGUCAGCAUGGCCCUUAUACCCUGGGCUACACACAUACUACAAUGGAGCCGACAAUGGGUCGCCAAGCCGUAAGGCGGAGCUAAUCCCAUCAAACGGCCUUCUCAGUGGGGAUUGAGGGCUGCAACCUGCCCUCAUGAACGUGGAGUUGGUAGUAAUUCGCGGGUCAGCUAAACCGCGGUGAAUACGUUCUCAGGUCUUGUACACACCGCCCGUCAAGUCAGAGGAGUUGGGGGCACCCGAACUUCGGUUGAACCGGAGGAAGGUGACACCAGCAACUAGGAUU
rnacentral:rRNA from 1 species